rnacentral:rRNA from 1 species
UACGAAGGGGGCUAGCGUUGCUCGGAAUCACUGGGCGUAAAGCGCACGUAGGCGGAUCUUUAAGUCAGAGGUGAAAUCCCAAGGCUCAACCUUGGAACUGCCUUUGAUACUGGGGAUCUCGAGUCCGGUAGAGGUGAGUGGAACUGCGAGUGUAGAGGUGAAAUUCGUAGAUAUUCGCAAGAACACCAGUGGCGAAGGCGGCUCACUGGCCCGAUACUGACGCUGAGGCACGAAAGCGUGGGGAGCAAACAGG